CUUUGAUGAAGUCAUGUUUGCAUGUUGCAAAAUAAUAAUAUAGCCUUCAAAAGAAAGGCUGACUAGCCUCAUUAAGCUUACUGACAUUCAUCAACAUUGUGCUCUCAGGAUUAAUUUGCUUGAUGAUCUAGCAGUACUCUCAUAGAUGGGCAUACUGCUUCCUAUGGCUAAUAUGAACAAUCUCUAGUGCUCUAGUAUUCGCUCCGUAAAAGCCUUCAUAUCCCUCCUUACUUGCUCUCUGAAGUACUUGACACUCUAUUUUGCAUUGGAUCUAAUCUCUCAAGAUACUUUUCUCCUAGAAACUUGAAUGUGACAUUAUAAUUUUAAAAUUAUUUUUCAAACUGUGCAU
rnacentral:lncRNA from 1 species